rnacentral:rRNA from 1 species
AUUGAACGCUGGCGGCAGGCCUAACACAUGCAAGUCGAGCGGAGUGGCGGACGGGAGAGUAAUGACUAGGAAGCUGCCUGGUAGUGGGGGAUAACGUCCGGAAACGGGCGCGAAUACCGCACACUAUCAGAUGAGCCUAGGUCGGAUUAGCGAGUUGGUGGGGUAAAGGCUUACCAAGGCGACGAUCCGAAACUGGUCUGAGUGGAGGAUCAGUCACACUGGAACUGAGACACGGUCCAGACUCCUACGGGAGGCAGCAGUGGGGAAUAUUCGACAAGGGGCGAAAGCCUGACACAGCCAUGCCGCGUGUGUGAAGAAGGUCUUCGGAUUGUAAAGCACUUUAAGUGGGGAAGCGGUACCAACAGAAUAAGCACCGGCUAACUUCGUGCCAGCAGCCGCGGUAAUAC